AAUCAACGCUGGCGGCGUGCCUCAGACAUGCAAGUCGAACGAUUAAAGCUCUCUUCGGAGAGUGCAUAGAGUGGCGCACGGGUGAGUAACACGUAAGUAAUCUACCUUCGAGUGGGGAAGUAACGUCCGGAACGGACGCUAAUACCGCAUAAUGCAGCGGCAUCAUAAGAUGACAGUUGUUAAAGAUUUAUUCGCUUGAAGAGGAGCUUGCGGCAGAUUAGCUAGUUGGUAAGGUAAU
rnacentral:rRNA from 1 species